rnacentral:lncRNA from 1 species
GGGAAGUUAAUUUACUCUUGUUAUGCAUGAGUCUCAUUUACCCAGAUAACUGAGAAUUAUGCUCUUUUCCUAAGGAAAGAACAGUUCUGGUUUGAGGGAGAUAAGAGCAUUUAAUGAACAAAGAGGAGAUGCGGAAUUUCUUAGCAACUCUCUCUCCCAUUCCUACCUCAGUUAGGGCAGAGAGGGUCCAUGGUCUGGAAUCUCAAAGCCAACCUUCAAAUCGCUUAUUUGACUUUAAAAAGUGCAAAGCAUGUUCUGCUUUAUGUUUUAAACUCUUGACCCCUGAUCAUUAUCAGGGUUCAGUUCAGUGGGUACCCAGCCAUAUUGAUGGAAAAUGUGAUGGAGUUAAUAAUCACCAUUGGAAGUAGAAGCUGGCAGAAGGCUUUUAGGAUGCUGUGUUGAGACCCAGGUCAGCUAACCUGCAUGAUCAGCCAUGGAAUAAAAAUGGAUUUGGCAGAAAUACAUUCCUUACACCGCAGGAUCAUGAAUAAGACAAGAAUGCCCACUGUUGCCACUUUUAUUCAACAUAGUGCUGGAAGUCCUAGCCACAGAAAUUAGUCAAGAAAAAGAAAUAAAAGACACCCAUAUUGCCACAACUCUAGGCGUGGUCCCGAGGGUGUUGCUUCAUCCUCCUGGGUCACAGAAUGAAGAUGAUGCAGAGGAGAGCCACAGCUAGCUGUGACAGUCAUGUUGCAAGAGUGAGAAAACAUCCUUUGUGGUUUGUCUCUUUUCCUGGGACCUGGUGGAGAGAGAAAUUGUGAGUUGAACACUCAUAACGGGUGUCCUAUUGAUCCUGUCUGGGCACUUCCAUCAUACCACAGAAUGUCUAGCCUUGACUGCACAGUUGGAUUCUUUCAUUGCCUCUCUGAAGUUACAUGACUUAGUUCCUUAACUCCUCUGGCAGCAUACAUUACAGAGAAAACUAUCUGCUCUGUCAAUAACUUACAUCUAGGUAACCUAGUCACAAGACCUCUGUCACCCAGGUUCUCUGGAUAUGUUGUGGUCUCUUUAAUAUGCCUCCCAGAGCCCCCCAAAGUGGAUUUCAUCCAUGCCAUGUAGCCUGUAGUUCAAGUCUGACCACCUUAAUAUAAACUCUGAAUUUGGUGAAAAUCCAUUUCAUCUGAUGUGAAAAAAGCUGAGCACCAGCAGGGCUCAGGGAAGCUGAAGUGGAUUUGUAUGAUGGAGAGGAUUCUGAGAGUGACAUUUUCAGUAAGAGGGCUCUAAGGACAUGACCCCUACUGGGUGGAUCCUCAGAACUUGGAAGUCACAAGUGAUUUCAUGCUACAGGAUGAUGGAAGUACAAAGACAAGUCAAGCACUGCUGCUGCCCUCCAGGAUCUCACAGGAUGGUGUGGUGUGAUGAGGAGUGAGUCACAGCCUUGUGACACAGCCGGGGCCAUAUCCAUGGUAUACGGAAGUUCCCAAGCUAGGAGUUGAAUUGGAGCUACAGCUGCCAGCCUACACCACAGCCACAGCAACUCGGGACCUACAGCACAGCUCAUGGCAACGCUGGAUCCUUAACCCACUGAGUGAGGCCAGGGAUCAAACCCGUAUCCUCAUGGCUACUUGUUGGAUUCGUUUCUGCUGAGCCAUGUGGGAACUCCCUGUGUUGUCUUCUCCUUAAAGCUAGUGAAGGGUGAACAGAUAUUCAGCCACAUCAAAAGAGAAAUCCAAAGCCUACAUUGUGACCUGAAAACAGAACAAUGCCUUUCAGCCUUAUAAUCUUGAGAAUUAUUAUGGAAUGAUCACUUGCAGUUUCUGUUCUUUGCCACGCCAUGAUGCCAUGGGAGGCUUGAGUCCAAAGUGGGCAAGUUUUAUUUCAGACCAGUUGAGCAAGAUCUAGGUCACUAUCAUUGGUCUAAGAACACACACAGACACUUCUCAUGCACACACACUAAAGGCUUUUUUGAUUUGUUUGUAAUCUCCAUUCCUAGUGACAUGGUUCUUUUUAAUAAGUAAACUGAGAUGGUGAUUUUUCAAGCCACCAUUGGGGAAGUACCAAUUUUUGAAUUUUCAAACUGUUGAGGAAUACCUUUUUAAGGUAGGGUAAAAGUAAAUUACUAGUAAACUAAAAUAAGCAAAAACAUACAAAAUACACUCCCAAAUCUUCAGAGGGGAAACAAAUACAAUUUCUGUUUUAAAUCACUAAAUAAGUUUCUAAACACUCUUAACAGUGUACUUUUCUUGUUUUUCAUGGCAGCCUUACUUUAUGUAAGUCUAAUAUCUUACAUAUGCAAUGGCACAAAAAUCUCAAGACACCAGUUCAGUUCACACAUAAUGUGUGUGAAACUUCCAGCAAAUUGUUAUCUCUCUUCUCACCAAACAAGUCUGUGAAGGUAGGAAAGUAAAUGUCAGCAGAUAAACUUUCUGUUCAAUUAUUGUGAAGGUAACAGGAUUAUUACCAUUUGGGGUUCCACGUGACUAUUUAAAAAUGUUUUUUUGAUCAAAUAUUAAAAAACUCCGGAGUUCCCGUCAUGACUCACCGGUUGGUGAACCCGACUAUCAUCCAUGAGGAUGUAGGUUCGAUCCCUGGACUUGCUCAGUGAGUUAAUGAUUGAGCGUUGCCGUGAACUGUGCUGUAGGUCACAGACGUGGUUCAGGUCUAGUGUUGCUGCCGCUGUGGUGUAAACCAGCAGCUGUAGCUCCAGUUCAGCCCCUAGUCUGGGAAUCUCUAUAUGCCGUGGAUGCAGCCCUAAAAAGACAAACAAACAAAUAAAUAAAUAAAUAAUUCAGUGGAAAACACAGAGAUACCUAAAAAAGAGGGUGAACUGAGUGAUACCUUUUAUUUUUGGCCAAUAUUUUAAAACUCCAUAUUCACCUCUAAAGAUAAAAAUGCCUUUCUUUUAAAUCUGGGGCUUCCAUUUCUAUCACCCUAGAAUUUAAAUAAAAAGAAAUGGGUGGAUUAAAGCACAAUAACGUAUUUGCCCUCUUAUAAUAAAUAUCACAUCAUAAGAAUGGUAAAUGUGAUGAUGAGAA